rnacentral:rRNA from 1 species
GGAGGGUGGGAGGGUUAAUCGGAAUUACUGGGCGUAAAGGGCAUGCAGGUGGUUUGUUAAGUCAGAUGUGAAAGCCCGGGGCUCAACCUCGGAAUUGCAUUUGAAACUGGCAAACUAGAGUACUGUAGAGGGGGGUAGAAUUUCAGGUGUAGCGGUGAAAUGCGUAGAGAUCUGAAGGAAUACCGGUGGCGAAGGCGGCCCCCUGGACAGAUACUGACACUCAGAUGCGAAAGCGUGGGGAGCAAACAGGAUUAGAUACCCUGGUAGUCCACGCCGUAAACGAUGUCUACUUGGAGGUUGUGGCCUUGAGCCGUGGCUUUCGGAGCUAACGCGUUAAGUAGACCGCCUGGGGAGUACGGUCGCAAGAUUAAAACUCAAAUGAAUUGACGGGGGCCCGCACAAGCGGUGGAGCAUGUGGUUUAAUUCGAUGCAACGCGAAGAACCUUACCUACUCUUGACAUCUACAGAAGCCAGCGGAGACGCAGGUGUGCCUUCGGGAACUGUAAGACAGGUGCUGCAUGGCUGUCGUCAGCUCGUGUUGUGAAAUGUUGGGUUAAGUCCCGCAACGAGCGCAACCCUUAUCCUUGUUUGCCAGCACUUCGGGUGGGAACUCCAGGGAGACUGCCGGUGAUAAACCGGAGGAAGGUGGGGACGACGUCAAGUCAUCAUGGCCCUUACGAGUAGGGCUACACACGUGCUACAAUGGCGCAUACAGAGGGCGGCCAACUUGCGAAAGUGAGCGAAUCCCAAAAAGUGCGUCGUAGUCCGGAUUGGAGUCUGCAACUCGACUCCAUGAAGUCGGAAUCGCUAGUAAUCGUGGAUCAGAAUGCCACGGUGAAUACGUUCCCGGGCCUUGUACACACCGCCCGUCACACCAUGGGAGUGGGCUGCAAAAGAAGUGGGUAGUUUAACCUUCGGGAGGACGCUCACCACUUUGUGGUUCAUGACUGGGGUGAAGUCGUAACAAGGUAACCG